UACGUAGGCAGCAAGCGUUGUUCGGAAUUACUGGGCGUAAAGCGUGCGCAGGCGGUUAUGUGAGACAGAUGUGAAAUGCCCGGGCUUAACCUGGGAACUGCAUUUGUGACUGCAUGGCUAGAGUUUGGCAGAGGGGGGUAGAAUUCCACGUGUAGCAGUGAAAUGCGUAGAUAUGUGGAGGAACACCGAUGGCGAAGGCAGCCCCCUGGGUCAAGACUGACGCUCAUGCACGAAAGCGUGGGGAGCAAACAGG
rnacentral:rRNA from 1 species